CCUACGGGUGGCUGCAGUGGGGAAUAUUGGGCAAUGGGCGCAAGCCUGACCCAGCAACGCCGCGUGAGGGAAGAAGGCUUUCGGGUUGUAAACCUCUGUCCUUGGUGACGAAACAAAUGACGGUAGCCAAGGAGGAAGCCCCGGCUAACUACGUGCCAGCAGCCGCGGUAAUACGUAGGGGGCGAGCGUUGUCCGGAAUUACUGGGCGUAAAGGGUGCGUAGGCGGCCUUUUAAGUUGGAUGUGAAAUACCCGGGCUUAACUUGGGGGGUGCAUCUAAUACUGGAGGGCUAGAGUGCAGGAGAGGGAAGCGGAAUUCCUAGUGUAGCGGUGAAAUGCGUAGAUAUUAGGAGGAACACCAGUGGCGAAGGCGGCUUUCUGGACUGUAACUGACGCUGAGGCACGAAAGCGUGGGGAGCAAACAGGAUUAGAUACCCCAGUAGUC
rnacentral:rRNA from 1 species